rnacentral:tRNA from 1 species
AUCAAGUUAGUUUAAUACUAAAACGUCAGCUUGUGAAUCUGAAAAUAAAAUUUGUUUUACUUGAUC